UCUACAGGCUUAACACAUGCAAGUCGAGGGGCAGCAUGGUCUUAGCUUGCUAAGGCCGAUGGCGACCGGCGCACGGGUGAGUAACACGUAUCCAACCUGCCGUCUACUCUUGGACAGCCUUCUGAAAGGAAGAUUAAUACAAGAUGGCAUCAUGAGUCCGCAUGUUCACAUGAUUAAAGGUAUUCCGGUAGACGAUGGGGAUGCGUUCCAUUAGAUAGUAGGCGGGGUAACGGCCCACCUAGUCUUCGAUGGAUAGGGGUUCUGAGAGGAAGGUCCCCCACAUUGGAACUGAGACACGGUCCAAACUCCUACGGGAGGCAGCAGUGAGGAAUAUUGGUCAAUGGGCGAGAGCCUGAACCAGCCAAGUAGCGUGAAGGAUGACUGCCCUAUGGGUUGUAAACUUCUUUUAUAAAGGAAUAAAGUCGGGUAUGGAUACCCGUUUGCAUGUACUUUAUGAAUAAGGAUCGGCUAACUCCGUGCCAGCAGCCGCGGUAAUACGGAGGAUCCGAGCGUUAUCCGGAUUUAUUGGGUUUAAAGGGAGCGUAGAUGGAUGUUUAAGUCAGUUGUGAAAGUUUGCGGCUCAACCGUAAAAUUGCAGUUGAUACUGGAUAUCUUGAGUGCAGUUGAGGCAGGCGGAAUUCGUGGUGUAGCGGUGAAAUGCUUAGAUAUCACGAAGAACUCCGAUUGCGAAGGCAGCCUGCUAAGCUGCAACUGACAUUGAGGCUCGAAAGUGUGGGUAUCAAACAGGAUUAGAUACCCUGGUAGUCCACACGGUAAACGAUGAAUACUCGCUGUUUGCGAUAUACUGCAAGCGGCCAAGCGAAAGCGUUAAGUAUUCCACCUGGGGAGUACGCCGGCAACGGUGAAACUCAAAGGAAUUGACGGGGGCCCGCACAAGCGGAGGAACAUGUGGUUUAAUUCGAUGAUACGCGAGGAACCUUACCCGGGCUUAAAUUGCAGAUGAAUUACGGUGAAAGCCGUAAGCCGCAAGGCAUCUGUGAAGGUGCUGCAUGGUUGUCGUCAGCUCGUGCCGUGAGGUGUCGGCUUAAGUGCCAUAACGAGCGCAACCCUUGUUGUCAGUUACUAACAGGUUCCGCUGAGGACUCUGACAAGACUGCCAUCGUAAGAUGUGAGGAAGGUGGGGAUGACGUCAAAUCAGCACGGCCCUUACGUCCGGGGCUACACACGUGUUACAAUGGGGGGUACAGAGGGCCGCUACCACGCGAGUGGAUGCCAAUCCCCAAAACCUCUCUCAGUUCGGACUGGAGUCUGCAACCCGACUCCACGAAGCUGGAUUCGCUAGUAAUCGCGCAUCAGCCACGGCGCGGUGAAUACGUUCCCGGGCCUUGUACACACCGCCCGUCAAGCCAUGGGAGCCGGGGGUACCUGAAGUGCGUAACCGCGAGGAGCGCCCUAGGGUAAAACUGGUGACUGGGGCUAAAUC
rnacentral:rRNA from 1 species